GACCGCGUAGCUCAGUUGGCAGAGCAUUGGGCUAGUAUUCCAAAGGUCGUAGGUUCGAUUCCCACCGCCGGCC